UUCUGAUUCCAGAUGUAAAAAUAAUGUGAGAAAUUAACUUUAUAUCUAAAAAAAAGUUAAACUACUUAUCCAAAUUACUUGGGAAAUACAAUAUUCUGAUGAGAAGAGAUGCCAUUAUACACCUUAUGAAAAUUUCCAGUGUUGAAAGAUUGUCAACAUCUUUACAGGUACCACAUUAAAACUAUACUGACGGUGGUUUUGUGUUUCUCCUUGUUAAUUUGCAGGGCACUUGUGGAUCUAUAGACCUCAGGGUCAUUGAUAUGUAUGGCUUAUGGUUGAAAAUUCUCUAGAGGAAAGCAUUUAGUUACUUGGCUUCGGUUCAUUUGAGUUACAAAUAAGCUAGAGUAGACUUCUGUGUAUUCCUUUCUUGAUGAGAUGCAACUUUCAACCGAGAGGGAAACUGGCACUGAUUUCUCUGUGGUAACCCUUGUUCUCUGUGUCUUUUCUGGAUACAACAGUUCUGUGGAAGCAAAUCAUUGAACGCAAUGGAGGAGUCCUCACCAGUGCCUUGAAUGUCAGCUGCCUGGCGAAGGUCACUGACGGCUUCACCCAAGGACAUAUAGUCGAAGUGGUUAAAGGCGUGCUCACAGAUCAGAGAAUCCGGCGGCAAAUUCAUAAACCUCUCACUGCAGUUGAGUUUAUUACAGCGAUAACCAGCAUGAAUCCAGUGUACAAAGAGGAAGAAGAGAGCUUCAAGAACUGGUAUGCCAAAACUCCUCUGGGUAAAAAACGUGCCUUGGCGAUAACAGGAGGCAGCACAGAAAAGGCAAAGGACAAAGGGAAAAGGAAA
rnacentral:sRNA from 1 species